GGACUACUAGGGUAUCUAAUCCUGUUUGCUCCCCACGCUUUCGCACCCCAGCGUCAGUAUCGGGCCAGUGAGCCGCCUUCGCCACUGGUGUUCUUGCGAAUAUCUACGAAUUUCACCUCUACACUCGCAGUUCCACUCACCUCUCCCGAACUCGAGAUCCUCAGUGUCAAAGGCAGUUCUGGAGUUGAGCUCCAGGAUUUCACCCCUGACUUAAAGACCCGCCUACGUGCGCUUUACGCCCAGUGAUUCCGAGCAACGCUAGCCCCCCUCGUAUUACCGCGGCUGCUGGCCAC
rnacentral:rRNA from 1 species